ensembl:snRNA U4 U4 spliceosomal RNA
UUCUUUGCUCAGUGGCAGCAGUAUCGUAGCCCGUGAGGUUUAUCCAAGGAGCGAUUAUUGCUGAUUGAAAACUCUUCCCAGUUCUGUGAUCUAGAUUUACAAAAUUUCCUCUUCAAAUUCUUGCCUUCUGUUAUGUAG